GAAGACAUGAGACGAAAUGCUUUGCCAAACUUUCUUAGGGGUUGACUACGGAAUUUUAGGGUUGCGAUUUUCUGCUCUGACGAAACGCACACCAGGAGCGACGGUCCUUGGAGGAGCAACGACGGUCCAUUCAAUCGCUGCAGUGGACGACGCUAUACCGGGGUUGCGAUUUGCCUACUCGACGAGACGCACUGCUCCAGGAGCGAAGGUCCUUUAAAUCUUCUGAAAACAAUCACGAUAGCAGUGGCGGCGGUGAAGACGACGCCGUUUUCCCCGUUCGCGCGGUGAUUUGGUUGCUCGAAUCACUCCACGAUAUUUCUGGAUUUCCGUGGUGGAUUACUAUAGUUUCCUCUACUUUGGCGCUCAGAAUUGUUAUCCUUUGUCCUUUGAUUCUGACACUUCACAAGCUUAAAAGGAUUGGAGAGUUCUUUCCUAAAUUGCCUCCUCCAUUCCCACCACCUUUCUCAGGAAAGAGUUAUAUUCGUCAGUUUCUAUUCUUCCAGAAGAAGAGAAAAGCAAUUGGAUGUCCCUCUUAUGCGUGGCCACUGGUACCAUACAUUGUACAGAACACUAGAUGUAACAACUAAGAAGUUUGAUGAAUGAGUA